GACGAACGCUGGCGGCGUGCUUAACACAUGCAAGUCGAACGAUGACGACCGAGCUUGCUCGGUCUGAUUAGUGGCGAACGGGUGAGUAACACGUGAGCAACCUGCCCUUCACUCUGGGAUAACCUCGGGAAAUCGGGGCUAAUACCGGAUAUGAGCUCCUGUCGCAUGGCGGGUGUUGGAAAGUUUUUCGGUGCAGGAUGGGCUCGCGGCCUAUCAGUUUGUUGGUGAGGUAGUGGCUCACCAAGGCGAUGACGGGUAGCCGGCCUGAGAGGGCGACCGGCCACACUGGGACUGAGACACGGCCCAGACUCCUACGGGAGGCAGCAGUGGGGAAUAUUGCACAAUGGGCGAAAGCCUGAUGCAGCGACGCCGCGUGAGGGAUGACGGCCUUCGGGUUGUAAACCUCUUUCAGCAGGGAAGAAGCGAAAGUGACGGUACCUGCAGAAGAAGCGCCGGCUAACUACGUG
rnacentral:rRNA from 1 species